rnacentral:rRNA from 1 species
CACGUAGGGGCCAAGCGUUGUCCGGAUUUAUUGGGCGUAAAGAGCGUGUAGGCGGCCAUUCAGGUCAGCUGUGAAAACUCGAGGCUCAACCUCGAGACGUCGGUUGAAACCGUUUGGCUAGAGUCCGGAAGAGGAGAGUGGAAUUCCCGGUGUAGCGGUGAAAUGCGCAGAUAUCGGGAAGAACACCCGUGGCGAAGGCGGCUCUCUGGGACGGUACUGACGCUGAGACGCGAAAGCGUGGGGAGCGAACAGG